AAACAAAGCUAAUGCACGUAGCGUGGCAGGCAUCACGAGGCACAGAGGCACCGUGGAGGUGCAGGGCCCAAUGCUCAGAGUCAUGGCAUCACAGAGUCCGGAGGAACCUUAGAACCUCUUCUCUCCCCACCAAUGUCUUCAGCUAUCUACCUUUUCUUCUUCUCUGAAAAUACAGUUCAUCUUCAACGCUGUCCCACCUGAAGCUCCCAAGUCUGGUUUUGGUGUCUAUCACAGAGUCCGGCAUGUGGUGAGCUCUGGGGACAAAAUAUUAAAUGUUUGCCGAGUGAAUAAAUCCUCACCAAUGCCAGCACCCACUCUACAGCAUCCCGGACAGAUGGCCGCCUCACCUCUAUCGCUAGACCGCCACCAACGAUGGAGAGCUCCCUAUCUCACUGGCAGCUCAGGCUAUCUGGAAAAUUUUCCCAAAGGAACUCCAUCAUACAUCCCAAGUCGUUAGAGUUCUUCCCAAAUGAGAAAAAUGGGAGAGCAGGAGGCAGAGCUGUGAACACGGGCAGCAAAAGUCAACCUGGGAAAACUCCCUCCCGAGCUGUGUAACACUGAGAAGAAGGGGACAAGGCAAGAUGCUGUGUGUGUGCAGCGUGAUACAGCGGUGGGAGGAGCCUGAGGGCUUCUCCCUUAAUGCGCUCAGGACGGACUAGGCUUUGAAGCUAGAACCAGCAGUCCUUCGGCC
rnacentral:lncRNA from 1 species